rnacentral:lncRNA from 1 species
CAAAUGGGGGUGUCAUUUAUCUAUGCCAACCCGACUGCCCUCUGCCCUCCCUCCAGUGCUCUUUGCCCUCACCCAGUAACCUAAUUUGCAUUUGAAAAAGAGCAGCGGUUGCAAUAGCACCUUGAGUUCCAGCCUUCAGCCAGCCUGGAGAGUGCAUCAGGAAUUUGGGUGGUCAUCUGCUGGGAAUCAGCAGUAUGCAGAAGACAGCAGGAGGUAAUUCUGCACCCACUUUACAUAUGAAGAAGCUGAAGUCUUGCAAAGUGGCCCAAGGUCUCCCAGGGAUGACCUGCUGGAAGCAAGCUAUGAAUCUAAGUCUCACCCCAAAGCUGCCUGUGUUCUCUUGUGAAAAGAACCACAAGCCAAAAGUUGGAUCAAUACCCAAGGACAGACACCUCUCUAAGAGCUGUGAUUGAGCUUGCAUACCUCACCCAACAGCGCCUCAGAUGAAGAAGAUCCUGCGGCAUCCCUGGUAUCCAUGGCCUUUCAUUGCUCCUGGAAUUCUUGCUCCUUUUUGAGUGAGUGUGCUUUGUUCGUUUCAUAAUUGGACUCUUAAUUCAGCAAUAGCUCUGGCCAGUUGCUAUUAAUGAUCACUUUGCUCUCCUCUUCCCAUAGCAAUUAUUAAUUAAACUGCUCAGAGAGUCAUAAUGAGAAAUUAAAGACUGUAAUAAUAUUUUAGGAAGCAGUAUCCCAUGAUCUUGGAGGCCUAUAUUCUGUUCCAAAGGCAGAGCAGAGUUUGUUUAAUUCACAAACAUUUACUGAGUCCCCUUUAGGUAGAAGGCCCCAUUCAGUUUCCAGGCAUACACCAAGGAUGGCAUCUGCUCUAGGGAGGAGCUGAAGGUCAUGGUGUGGAGUGUUUUUUGAUCCAAGUCUUAACUCUUAUUGAUUCUCCUUUCUCAACUUGUACCCUUCCAUCGAGAAUCAGUUCCAACUUUCCCUUCUACUUUCAUUACCUACCGUUCCCUCCCACAACCUUAAGAAGCCCUCAGGUUAAUUGCUCCUUUUCUGAGUUCCUGUGAUAACUUUGUAUAAAUCUCUAUUAUAGAACUAAUAUUUUUAUCAUCAUUAAAAAAAUAAAAAACAAC